AGUAGGGUGUGAGGUAGGAAUCGUGUAUAUCAAAAUCGAAAUAAGAAUUUAGUGUGGUCAAGACCUUGGUACAAACACCUCGGUGUGAAAAGGUUGCUAAAGUGCGCUGGCGAACAGCGAAUAAUUAAAUUUUUCAAGACGCCCGAUAGGGCGGUUGGUGUACAAUUUAUUAUAGCACCUCGUGGGUUAUUUGCUCCGUUCGAAGUCGAGCCUUUGUCAAGUAUCCUGAUUAUCAGGUGAACCUGUACUCGUGGAGUCUUUGUUUGUAUUAUCACGUCUAUACUUCAAGGAAGUGACCAUUCACCAUAUCUAUUGAAUCGACAAAGGGGAUCAUCUCCUAGAUAAAAUUAUCAUUGACAAGAGGGACACCGAUACUUGCGUAAGGUUGUCCACGAUUAUGAAAUUAUUUUGAAAACUACGCUGUACAUAUAGAAUUUGUGGUUGCAAUGAUGCUAUGGAUGAUGGAUGAAAUAAGCAGCAAUUUUCUGGACGAGUAGGCUUGCACAUAUUUCGCACAGUAAUUCGUGUGUAAAGUUCAUACACAUACACAUAUAUCAGAGGGGCUGGGAAAUUGUACAGAGAUUAAGCCUGUUAUUCGUGAACAACAAUGAGCGUCGAUCAGAAAGGGGUGAAGAAUCUCCCUCUCUAAUGUACAUGCAUAUAUAUGGGCACUGGUUCUCCAAAAGGGACGUUCCAGUGAGCCAAAAUCACGCGUUUUUAUUCAAAAACCUGCAGGGGACAAAAACCAGCCAGAAAAUUUUGAAAAAAAAUUUGUGUAAAAUAUUAUAUUAUUAAAAUAUAUGUGCAAAGUUUUAUUUAGGAGUUUAAUUAUUAUUGGACAAACUUUUUUCAGUCAAAAUACAAACUUAGGAAAAAGAAACAUAAACUGAAAAUAUUGAAGAACGGAUUGAAAAUAAAGUAAGACGAAUAUCAAGAAAUGAACAACUGAACGUGAGAAAUUCGUGUGUAAUUUAAUCUCAUUUCACGUGUCUCAACCUGUAACUAUGAGAAUCAAUUUUCAUCGGUUUAAAGAGAUUAUAGACAUUUAUAAAAUCACAAUUUAGUGAUAGUAAUUAAACUUCUAAAGCUAUUAGAAAUAAUAAUAAAUGACUUUCUUAUUUACAAAAAUAGAGCGA